rnacentral:snRNA from 1 species
AUUGCUUCUUUGUCUUUUGGCUAAGAUCAAGUGUUGUAUCUGUUCUUAUCAGUAAAAAACAGUGAUAUGAAAAUACUAGUACUCAACUUGCAGGGUUGUUGUAACAUUAAAAGAGACAUUAGAACAUUAU